UUUGGGUAUGCUCAAUAAGUUCUCUGUUGCUGGACUUAGACUCCAUUAGGGCAAGUAGUCAUGGCAACUGCUUUGCAAAAUGCCAUGUGCACUGUGUGAUUUGGGAGAAGCUGAGCCCCAAGAGCAGAAAGCAGGCUGUUUUCCCUAACAUGUUGCAGCAGUUUUACUUUUGGCCUUCACAACAUCCCAUGGCAAUAAGUUAUCAGAGGAGAAAAGAGCUCGCAAAAGGCACAGUGCAAAGGGUCAAAACAUCACCUGUAAAUGUGACAUAUGCGGCAGAGAUUGUCUCUCUGGAGUGGGUCUCUUCAGCCUCGUCUGCGGCUGCCAUAAAAUGAAGAAGAACCACAAGGGCUGCAGGCCUGCAGACCUACAACACUCCUUUGGCAUAUUUGUGGAGCUUAUAAACUCCACCACAGAUCCACUGAGUCCAGAUGUUGUAAGCACUGUAAAUGUAGAACUUACAUUAUCCUUGGGCUUUUGGCUCCAGCUGUUGUUUGUUUGUUAGUUGAGAAUUUUAAGAGAUUACUGAAAAAUUAUAUUUGCUGUGAAAAUGUACAGUUCUACACAAUUUACUUUUUGUUUUACUAUUUCACUAGUUCUGUUUUUGUGUUUCUUUGAUUUCCUUUCUUCCUCCUUCCCCCAUUGUUGCCUGGAUGUUUUUAUAGAGUCAUACAAAGCAUUUUUAUAUUCAGAUAAGGUUUUUAUAGUCAGAUUGGAAAAGAUAGAUGGAAAAAUUAUUAGAUAAUCCCCAGUUACUGACAGGGCAGCAUACAUUCCACAGAUGAGGAUAUGUGAAAUACUGGAUUUAUAUACUUAUUGCAUUUUGAAAGCAAAUAUUCAUUGUUUUUUCUUAUUAUAAUUACAUGCUGUUAUAAGGUAACAGAGCUACUGUCAAACUUUGGAAGCUUGUGUAUCUCUGCAUAAUAGGAGGUGACACUAAGAUAUUUUUGUUUUAAUUUAAUGAAAAUAUAACCUUUGAAAACAGAUUAAAAAUAUUUUUGUGACAUAACAGCAUAAACAAGUUACCGAGCAUUUUCAGUGUAAUUUGAUGGCUUAGCAAGCAUAGUGGAAACAGCAUUAUUACUAGAAAGAGAACUUGAGGAAGUGCUUAACAACUAAUCAGAAUUACCCACAGAAAAUCAUUUGCAUACAGAGAUUAUAAAGUAUUCAGACUUUAGAGUUUAAGGAACCAUCUAGAUUUGGAGGGCUGACUACUCAGAUGGUAUGUCUCCACUGCAGCUGGGAGUGAGCCAUCCCAAAAUGGGCAGAUUUGCAUUAGCAAGGCUCCAGCUAGCAUACUAAAAAUAGCUAUGUGGAUCCUUGUGCUGCAGUUUGGGCUCCGAAGCCUAAGGUGUUGAGUAGGCUUGAGAGCCAGAGCUGAAACUUGGGCCUCAAGGUCCACACUUCUAUUUUCUGUGUGCUUGCUCUAAAGAAAAGAGCACAGAAGGCUAGGGAACUCAGACUUCUCUGUAACCUCCUCAACAGAACACCAUAUUUCAGUAUCAGUUCCUUUUGAUACUGCACAUUCUGUCUGCCUCACUCCUUCUUCCCAAAUUACCUGCUACACUCCCAGCAGCAGUAGCACAUUUAUCUAGAAGAAACCCAACUAGUUAAUGAAAAGAUGCAGGGCUAGAUUCACAGAGCAACUUGGGCAUGGUAACAUUGAGCAUCACCAUGCCUAACUCACAGGUUAUCCCCAACUUCACAGGGAAUCACAAAGCCUGAGUUAGGUCCCUAGGCUCCCUAUGUAAUGAGUGUGGAGAACGCUAAGAAUGAGAUUCACAAACCCAGCAUGCUAGGCAGCUCCCAGACUAAGGUAGCCAAUAGGAGAUGCUGAAGAGAGGGGUGUGUUCUAAGUCUCACCCCCCUCACCUACAACUGGGCUGCAAGGAGGCACCUUCCUCUGCACCUACAUACCAGAUCAGGACCCACAGGCAAGCUACAAGGAAGAACACUAUCUUCCUGCAGUUCGCAUAUUGCACUGGGGGUUAGGUGUCCAGGCACAGAGAGUGAGGCAGAGUGUACAUGGAUGGAAACAGAAACACAGGUUCUGAGGGAACUUUUACUGCGAAAACUCAGAUGUGAGUGUAGGCACUUGUAGGGUUCAACAGCAGCUGAGUGUGGGGGGUGGGGAGGAGGAGGGCAGUGGUUGAAUCCCAGUGUGGUCUGCUUCUGGUUUUUAGAUGCCUAAAGUCCUGUUGUGAAACUAGCCCAUAGUUACCCAUGUUAAUUAUGCCUUGGAAGACUUCUUCCUGAGGUCCUGAUCCCAAAGGCCUUAUUUCUAAAUACUUGUCCAAAGUGAUGUAAUUCAGUAAUCCAAGGAAUGUACUUUUUUUGAUCUCCCAUUGACUUCACUAGACAUUAGGAUCUUUAAGAAAUAAAAUACCCAGGAUUUUUGUGUUGUUGUACACAAAAAAAGAAAAACAGAGCGGGAGAUGGAGAAGAAAAAGAAAAGACGAGGGAACAAGGGAGCAGCAACAGAGGUUUAGAAUGUCAGUUUAUAUUUGCCGGAGCAAUAGUAUUGGCAACUCUGAGCUCUCAAAACUCAUAAAUUGAUCCCCCAACAAAAAUAAUGAGAUCAACUUGAGUCAUGAGACUUUUGAAAAUAUUAAAAUUGUAGGUCUUCUGAUUUGCUUUCUGGGUUUAGCCUUUAGGGGGCCAAGUUUUCAAGCUUUUCUCCACAACCAAAAGCAUUAGAAAUGUACCUGUUUUUAAACUGAAAUCUGAGAGUCUCACAUAAUAACAUGAUUCCAUGAGAUGGAAGUUUAAGACAAACAAACACAUAUUGUGAGAACAGGUAACACUGGAUAAGGGGCAGCACAUAGCUGUGUUACUUUAGGAGCAGCCCACAAAAGGAAUUGUGACUCAGUCACUUCCCUCCUUGACUUCUCCCUCCUGAAGGGGAAAGUUUAUAUCAGAAGUGAAUUGCAACCCUCUUCACACUAAUUCAACUAUGCCAGUUAGCCACUGGGAUGGAAUCAAGAUUCAGCUUCCCAGCUCCUACCCACAUGUGUGGAAGGUGGUGUAGCAGUCCCAUGGAGGCUAUUCUCCUUUCUUCAGACUUUUACUAUGAGGUGGGUAGCUCACAUAGAGGAAUAAGAGGAACCCUUAAUCCACUCCCUUUGUGGAGGACUGUUAUACCAACUCUACAUAUACAUAUAGAAUCAUAGAACUGGAAGGGACCUCAAGAGGUCAUCUAGUCCAGUCCCCUGCACUCAAGGCAGGAUUAAGUAUUAUCUAGA